UUGCCUGUGCUUCGCCAUGAAACACCCCCCAGCAGAUGGAGCUUGUUGAAAACCUGCCCAUUGGAACUUUGUUCCUGUGUCCUGUGGGCCGCAAAGCCUAUCUCAUUUCAGCACGCCCUAUACCUGAAACAGGAAGACUGGCUUUGAAGCCCAUUUCUCCAUUCAUUUAGCACACAUCUGCAGUGAUGGAUAAGACAUGGCUUCCCAUCCUCUGGGAGCUUUCUGUGUCCCUGGAGCCAACAGACUCAGGAAGAGAGAACUACUGAACAGGGAGAUGAUGUCAGAAACCCACACAGUGUACCCAUGGAGCAGGAGGUUGCCUCAGAGCUUCAGCUAAAGGCCUGCAGCUGAGCUCGGCUCCAGAAAGCCUCUCCACAUUCUCAGCAGGGCAGCCUGUCCUCUUUCUCCAGGGUUCACCCAGAGUGGCCAGACCUCUGUCUCUCAGCACCGUCAACCCAUCCCACCCCUCCAAGCAGGAGCUGGACUCUGUGAGUUGAGCUUACGUGCAGAUGAGGAAACUGAAGCUCAUUGAGCUGAACUGACGUCAGAGAGGGCCUGAGCGGGGAUGGGAACCUUGGCUGACUCCAGGCCGCCCUGAGCCUCUGGCUGCUCACAGCAUUGAUACCCCAGCUCCAUGCCUCCUGGGACCUGGCCACCAAGAAGGUGUGACCACCAUUGGUGACAUGUGCAAGUCCACGAAGUGGCAGACCUUGGUCCUCCUGGAGUUCCGUGAGCCCCUUCUGGAUGAUC